GAUGAACGCUGACAGAAUGCUUAACACAUGCAAGUCAACUUGAAUUUGGGUUUUUAACUUAGAUUUGGGUGGCGGACGGGUGAGUAACGCGUAAAGAACUUGCCUCACAGCUAGGGACAACAUUUAGAAAUGAAUGCUAAUACCUAAUAUUAUGAUAAUAGGGCAUCCUAUAAUUAUGAAAGCUAUAUGCGCUGUGAGAGAGCUUUGCGUCCCAUUAGCUAGUUGGAGAGGUAACGGCUCACCAAGGCGAUGAUGGGUAGCCGGCCUGAGAGGGUGAUCGGCCACAAGGGGACUGAGACACGGCCCUUACUCCUACGGGAGGCAGCAGUGGGGAAUAUUGGACAAUGGACCGAGAGUCUGAUCCAGCAAUUCUGUGUGCACGAUGAAGUUUUUCGGAAUGUAAAGUGCUUUCAGUUGGGAAGAAAGAAAUGACGGUACCAAUAGAAGAAGUGACGGCUAAAUACGUGCCAGCAGCCGCGGUAAUACGUAUGUCACGAGCGUUAUCCGGAUUUAUUGGGCGUAAAGCGCGUCUAGGUGGUUAUAUAAGUCUGAUGUGAAAAUGCAGGGCUCAACUCUGUAUUGCGUUGGAAACUGUAUAACUAGAGUACUGGAGAGGUAAGCGGAACUACAAGUGUAGAGGUGAAAUUCGCAGAUAUUUGUAGGAAUGCCGAUGGGGAAGCCAGCUUACUGGACAGAUACUGACGCUAAAGCGCGAAAGCGUGGGUAGCAAACAGG
rnacentral:rRNA from 1 species